ensembl:lncRNA
CUCGCUAGCCUGGGCUAUUUUCACCGCUCCAUCUAGCUUCAGUUCAGUCUCCCUUAUCAGUCUUUCCCUAACCUUCUUUUCAUCAAUUCCGAAUACGAUCUGGUCCUUUAUCAUCGAAUCUUUGAGGGUUCCAAAAUUGCAUGAUUGUGCUUUUAUCUUCAAGUCUGUGACGAAGCCGUCAACACUCUCCCCUGGCUGCUGCAGCCUUGAACGGAAUACGUAUCUCUCGUACGUCUCGUUUUUUUUUGGUGAACAAUACGCUUCGAACUUGGCUAGCACAGUAUUAAACUUGGAUUGGUCUUCCCCAUCCUCAUAUACGAAGGUGUUGUAUACUUCAAUGGCUUGUGGCCCAGCUAUAGUGAGUAAUAACGCUACCUUUCUUGCGUCCGGUUUGUUGUCCAGCCCCACUGCCUCGAUGUAGAGCCGAAUCUGUUGCUGAAAUGUGCGCCAAUUACUGUCGACGUUUCCCGUUAGCUUUAGGUGAGGUCUCAUCAAGUUCUCCAUCGUCGAAUUUGUAGGCGACUGUCCGCUUUUCCAGAACCGAAACUCACUCACUUCACGUCUUUUACUCCUGUAGGACCGCUACCGACACCUUGUGGCAACAUGUGGAACUACAGAUAUCACCACA